rnacentral:rRNA from 1 species
GUGGGGGAUAUUGCGCAAUGGGGGAAACCCUGACGCAGCAACGCCGCGUGAAGGAUGAAGGUUUUCGGAUCGUAAACUUCUGUCUUUGGGGAAGAAAAAAAUGACGGUACCCAAGGAGGAAGCCACGGCUAACUACGUGCCAGCAGCCGCGGUAAUACGUAGGUGGCAAGCGUUGUCCGGAUUUACUGGGUGUAAAGGGCGUGUAGGCGGGUUUUUAAGUUAGAUGUGAAAUAUCGGGGCUCAACCCCGGGGCUGCAUUUAAAACUGGAGAUCUUGAGUGUCGGAGAGGAAAGCGGAAUUCCUAGUGUAGCGGUGAAAUGCGUAGAUAUUAGGAGGAACACCAGUGGCGAAGGCGGCUUUCUGGACGAUAACUGACGCUGAGGCGCGAAAGCGUGGGUAGCAAACAGGAUUAGAAACCCUUGUAGUCC